UACGGAGGCGGCAAGCGUUAUCCGGAAUUACUGGGCGUAAAGCGUGCGCAGGCGGCUUUGCAAGCCAGAUGUGAAAUCCCCGGGCUUAACCUGGGAACUGCAUUUGUGACUGCAUGGCUGGAGUGCGGCAGAGGGGGAUGGAAUUCCGCGUGUAGCAGUGAAAUGCGUAGAUAUGCGGAGGAACACCGAUGGCGAAGGCAAUCCCCUGGGCCUGCACUGACGCUCAUGCACGAAAGCGUGGGGAGCAAACAGG
rnacentral:rRNA from 1 species